CCCUUAGAGUUUGAUCCUGGCUCAGAUUGAACGCUGGCGGCAGGCCUAACACAUGCAAGUCGAGCGGUAACAGAUUGAUAGCUUGCUAUCAAUGCUGACGAGCGGCGGACGGGUGAGUAAUGCCUGGGAAUAUGCCCUGAUGUGGGGGAUAACUAUUGGAAACGAUAGCUAAUACCGCAUAACCUCUUCGGAGCAAAGAGGGGGACCUUCGGGCCUCUCGCGUCAGGAUUAGCCCAGGUGGGAUUAGCUUGUUGGUGGGGUAAUGGCUCACCAAGGCAACGAUCCCUAGCUGGUCUGAGAGGAUGAUCAGCCACACUGGAACUGAGACACGGUCCAGACUCCUACGGGAGGCAGCAGUGGGGAAUAUUGCACAAUGGGGGAAACCCUGAUGCAGCCAUGCCGCGUGUAUGAAGAAGGCCUUCGGGUUGUAAAGUACUUUCAGUUGUGAGGAAGGCAGUAAAGUUAAUAGCUUUGCUGUUUGACGUUAGCAACAGAAGAAGCACCGGCUAACUCCGUGCCAGCAGCCGCGGUAAUACGGAGGGUGCGAGCGUUAAUCGGAAUUACUGGGCGUAAAGCGCAUGCAGGGUGGUCUGUUAAGCAAGAUGUGAAAGCCCGGGGCUCAACCUCGGAACAGCAUUUUGAACUGGGCAGACUAGAGUGCUGUAGAGGGGGGGUAGAAUUUCACGUGUAGCGGUGAAAAUGCGUAGAGAUCUGAACGAAAUACCGG
rnacentral:rRNA from 1 species